rnacentral:rRNA from 1 species
UACAGAGGUCCCAAGCGUUGUUCGGAAUUACUGGGCGUAAAGCGUGCGCAGGCGGUUGUGUAAGACAGAUGUGAAAUCCCCGGGCUCAACCUGGGAACUGCAUUUGUGACUGCACAGCUGGAGUGCGGCAGAGGGGGAUGGAAUUCCGCGUGUAGCAGUGAAAUGCGUAGAUAUGCGGAGGAACACCGAUGGCGAAGGCAAUCCCCUGGGCCUGCACUGACGCUCAUGCACGAAAGCGUGGGGAGCAAACAGG